GUGCUCAUUCCGUAGCGGACUGCCGCAUCGAACGGACGUGAAAUCUGAACGGAUUGUCGAAAAAGCGACACGCCGCAGUCAAAAAUAAAAAAACAAAAAAAAAGAUACACACACUGAUACGCACUUGUGAAAAAGCGCGACGUGUAUGCAGUUUUCCAGUCGACAGUAGCCCAAAUUCGGAGACUCAGCCGCAGCGAUCAUCGUCGCGGUGACAGCAGAUCGAGAGGGAACUCAUUGAUACAUCGACGUUGUCAACGUUACACAGGUCGAGAUUCAACAAUCGGCGAUAUCAACCAGCGAUUUUGGCAGAUUUGCGUGAAUCGCCGCCUAACGAGAUUCGCGGGAGAGGAAAAAAAGAAUCGUCAAUUUCGGACACGCCGAGACAGUGAAGAUCGUCUCUCCCUGGCGCGGCGAAGUGUCCCGUGCGCGUAGAACUUUCUAGAGCCAACGAGAGAGGAAAAAAGUGAAGGAGAAGAAGAGGGAACGAGCGGACGAGACGACGUACAGAAGCGGGACAGUGAGUUGCGCGGAGCCGAGACGGGAAGAGGGACAGAGUUAGAGCAUACACGCACGCCGGCACCCCAGACGAGAUGGCGUUUAUGAUGCCUGUGGUGAAAAACGAAUUUGACAUUUACAAGACUAAUCGCAGCCGGCGCUCGUCCGAGUGCUCGAAUCCGCAGGCCUGUCGCAGCAGGAAGGUCUGGCGAACUAGCAGACACAACCGUCUCGCAAAGUGCGGCACACCUGAUCGCCCUCCCGUCUCGAUUCUCAUGGUAUCCGAGUGCUCCAAGUCGGAGGGCCCGUCGCUGUCGACUUCACCCGGUUCCGACUUCCUGACCUCGCCGGCGCACCGGUCUGUACCGCUUAGCUCGCGGCAUUUCUCGCGGACGUCAUCGCGCGCGUCGCAAAGCUCUCUGCAGAGCCCGAGCAAGAGUACGGGCACGUCGCCGCCGAAGACCGGCAGUUCGAGUUCCCUCAACAAGUUCCACAACCGGCUGGUCGACAAGCUGAAGCGCUCGCUGAAGAAGGCGGACGACUGCGCAGAGGAUCAGCGUAAUCUAUCGUGAAACAGCCAAGGGGUUUUGGGCCGGCCGCCCGUGUCCGGCUCGAAACCGAUCGAGAUCCGACGCACCUCGGCACCCGCUACCACAUCCGAGUCGAGCAGUAACGUGGCGGCACGCUCGUGUCCGGAUCCGUCUUCAGCUUGGUAGAGGGCAAGGUAGAGAGAAAGGAAGAAAGAGAGAGGAAGCAACAGCAAUGAAGAAUAUGUAUGCGGGACUGAAACAUCAAGAGAAAGGAAGAAUGCGCGUGCAUAUGACGGAAUCGGCGGGAGCAAGAAGAGGGGGGAGGGUGGAAAGAAAAUCGGACGUCGCGCGUUCACCUCGAGAAGGAUGUUCGAAAGCGAACGCGUUCGAGUUUAUAAGUCUAAGAGGACGAGAGGAUGGGCGGUUAUAACGAUCCUCGAACCGUCGGCUCGAUGUCGACGGUCGGUCACGUCAAGGAUCCUCUCACGAAUCGAGAUACACCUCAAUGGAGGAGUUGCCGACUUAGCCGGCGCUCAUGGAAGGAUGAACGCGGCGCUCUUGAGAUGUUCCUUUCGAGACGGAUUACGUUUUUAAAAAUGACAUCCGAUUCUCCGACGAUCGCAUCGAAAGUCUACGCGCAUUCUGCGGGAACGAAGAGGCGGAAACUCCCACAUAUCCAAAAUUAAAUCGCAGUAAUUAAAUAUUAAACAGAAGAUCUGACUCCAACGUGAGCACCGCCGGAAGCUUUCGACGGUUUAAAGAAGUAAAGCUCGAUCGAACGUUGUGCAAACAUCUUAGCGUUCGAAAAAUACGUUGGACUUUUGUGGAAAAUCGCCAAAUAACAAUUGGAAGGAUAAUUUUGAACAAUUGAAAUAUUGACGAAGCGAUAGCAACACGCGAAGAUAUCGCCAGGAGUUCGCCGUCGGGUUCUCCUUUCCACCGAGAAGUCAUCGCGAGAGUCGCGAAAAUCGCAGCGGACGGAUCUGGAUUGUGUCCAAUCAGUAGGUUGCAACCGCCACCCACUACGUUUUCUCCGAUUUACCAUCAUCUAAGAGAUUAAAAAAAAAAAAUGAUCAGUCUCGCGGCUUCCUCGUCAUCCGGAUUAAUCUCCGCGCUCGCGCGAAGUUCUCGCGGAUAAAUCUGAGAAUCUGUUUAGGAUGGCGAGAGAAAGAAGCGGAAGAGAAGGAGGAAGGAAGCAGGGGGAAGAGAGCAGGUCGCGACGGAGCCUCCGAGAGUCCACCAUCAGGGGGUCAAAGGCCAAGCGUUGGACGAAGCAGUGGCCAGGAAGCGAGACGAGUCGAUCGGAGGGAAGGAGGUGCGGAAGGGAACGUGUGUCCUUGGUCGCACGUGCAAAGGACGUCGAGUGUUACAAGGAAGGAGCACCGCUUCCGUCAUGAGAGAUUUCUCUUGAGAGAGAUACUUCUUUUUAUCUGAGACGUAUCAAUUUGAAAAGUUAUGACCUUAAUAAAUGAGAAAAAUGUAUCAUUCGUAUUGGUUAAUUGAUUAAAUAAAUGAAACUUUUUAAUUAAUUUUGGCUGACUCGAUUUUUAAUUUUUCUAAUUAAAUAUUUCUUUCAAAAUCUUAGAACUUGCUAUGAAAAGAAGAAUGUUUAUUUCGGUUAACAUUAAAUUGUUAAAUUUCUAAAUUAAAAAUAUCAUUGAGCAAAGUUAAAAAAAUGCAAUAUAAAUUUUUAAAAAAUAAAAAAUGGCAAAUAACAUCUUUUCAACACGAAAAUUGUAAAUUUAAUUUUAUAUAUAUUACAUGACAAGUUAAUUUGAUAGUCCAAGUCCGAUUCCAAUUUAGACAGCAAUUUUUCUCAGAGCCAUUCGUUCUCAUAAGAUUGCAACACCUUGACGUCCUUCGCAUCCGUCUACAGUUGUCCUGGUUUUCCGCGCGGAGGAUGUAGUGGUUUGCGCGCUUUCUUUCUAUCGGUUGCGUAUCGGGGAUUACGAACUGGGAGCAAUUAAGCGAUACCGCGUGUAACUCUGUGAUACCGUAAGCUAUAAGGUAGAAUUACUCUGCAACGAUUAAGUCGGAUUAGAGAAGAGAAUGGCGUUUAUGCGUGAGGAGAUAUACGUAGUUAGGACGAGACACGAACGCUUUGAUUAUCCAUCGAUUGCAGACUCGCAUUCUUCGAAAACCGAAAUGACAAUGAUUUUGAUUCUUGGUUGGCACGAAAUAACACGAGAGUGCUCCAGUAAGAGUCCAGUGAUUUUUUUUCUCCGGAAAGAAAAUGAGCGUUUGCUUUUCGAACCUUGUCGAGAAGGACGAAUUCCGGUGCACGAGCAUUUGAAGUCGUUUACGUCCGUCUUAACGUGUACAUAAAAUAUUAAGAGGCUGAAAAUCCGAAAGCGUCUGUCGAUUAUCAUCUGGCUGAGACCUCGAGAGAAAAUCGUACAACAAGCUAUAUAUAAAUUUUUUUGUCAAAAGUGCAAACAGGUUUCGCGAGUAUAAUUAUUCGGCGUGGAAGCCAGUUUAAUUCGACUUAAUAACUGCUGAAAGAUGUAAAAUCUUUUCUCUCGAAUUCAUUAAACUGCAAGAACGUCGAUUAGCAUAUGUCGAUUCGCGCUUUCGGACUCACAUCGGAUUUAAGAGAAAGCUUAGUCGGUAGACACGCGGAAAAUUUUGAAAAUUUGCAUAGCUCAACCUGCAUUUCUUCGGGUGCAGAUGGCGGAGGGACGAGAAUACGGAAAAGGGAAAGAGAGGGAGAAAGAAAGAGAGAAAAAUUGGAAGAGAGAAAGACAGAGAACUGUUUGCGAACAUCAGUUAAUAAAGAAAUCAUUUUGUGAAGGUGCGUACCGAAUAAUUUCCAAAAGUUGCCGCUUUAUGUAAGACUGCUUUAGUGAAAAAAAAAACAGA
rnacentral:misc_RNA from 1 species